rnacentral:rRNA from 1 species
CCUACGGGUGGCAGCAGUGAGGAAUAUUGGUCAAUGGGCGCGAGCCUGAACCAGCCAAGUCGCGUGAGGGAAGACGGCCCUAUGGAUUGUAAACCUCUUUUGUCGGGGGGCAAAAGACGCCACGCGUGGCGUUCCGAGAGUACCCGAAGAAUAAGCAUCGGCUAACUCCGUGCCAGCAGCCGCGGUAAUACGGAGGAUGCGAGCGUUAUCCGGAUUUACUGGGUGUAAAGGGUGCGUAGACGGUGCGCCAAGUCUGGAGUGAAAUGCCGCAGCUGAACUGCGGAACUGCUUUGGAUACUGGCGAACUAGAGAGCGGGUGGGGUAGGCGGAAUGCAUGGUGUAGCGGUGAAAUGCGUAGAGAUUAGGAGGAACACCGAUGGCGAAGGCGGCUUACUGAGCCGUAACUGACGUUGAGGCUCGAAAGCGUGGGGAGCAAACAGGAUUAGAUACCCGAGUAGUC